CCUGCCUCCUCUCUCGCACUUCCCCCACGCGCCCACUGCCGCCGUCCCUCACUCGAAGAAAACCCACGCGGCAUGUGGCGCUCGCACGCCUCCCCCUCGCCGCGCCCGGUGAACCCCGCGUCUCACCCUCGAAAAGGGAGAUGUGCGGUGCCCGGCCGCCGCCCCGUGCCACUGCGGUUGAUGCCAGCGAGGGUGCUCUCGUACUCUGGCCGAGGCUGCACUCUCACAUCGUCUCCUCCCUGGCCCUUUCUUCCUCUUCGUCGGCACAGGAACGGGGGUCGCCGUAUUGGGCAGCAGUUCGCCGCCACACCUCACUAAUCUAUCUCCUCUAUCUUCGUUCCCACACUGCAGGGCGCCAUGGCCAUGGACCAAAUCUCCGCUGGUCCUUCCCUCGCGACUGCCAGUCUUCCUCCCUACCAGAUUGACGACGAUGAUGACCGGAUCUUCCCCGCUGCCAUCCGUUUCCAGGAGACGUCAGCGGAUGGGGUUUCUUCCUCACGGCCUCCACCUACGGGCUCGCCGGGCCGGUGAUUAGACCUGCUCGGCAUGCGGGAUUGUGUCCUCUCCUAGCGAGGCGGUCGUGUGUCUUGCCCGUCACGCCCUCGGCUGUCGAGUCUUUUUCCUCGGCGUGCCCUCCUCCAGUAGCUCCGUCGCGUACGUGAACCAUCCAGGUUCAAAACUAAUUUUAUCGGAGGAAGUUCUGUGUGUUUGCAACCCUGCAACACCCAUUGCAUUUUUCUUCAGCAUGACCAACAACUCCACCACCUCCGAACUUAACCAUGGCCAGCUACCCAAUAUAUCGUCCAGAUGCUUGACGGAUAGCAUCACCGCGUCACACGAUUUCGAGGUGGCCAGUUACCAGUUGCUGGAUGGCAUCGGGGUCGGCAAGCACGUUCGCUCAAGUUUCCUGCUUGCCUAGCAUCUGCCCGACCUCCCCAGCCAACCCAGCCGCCCCCUCCGGGCUGAGCCCCUGUGCUGGUGGUCGACAAGAUUUUUUUAGUUAAUGAUGAGAUGUUUAGCCAUCCUCACUGGGGCUCCAAUCUGUGAGUAUGUUGGUGUGUUGAGGAGGACUGAAGAAGUGGGAGGUUCUAAAGAUGGACGGGAGGUACUAAUUGUUUCGCUUCAAGCUUUCAUUUCGCUUACUCAUCAUUUGUCUCAUUGCUCGGUUUCUUAGUUUGUCUCUGAAAAAUGGAUGUUUGUAAAUGAUUUGUUUCCACUCUUGUACAAAAAAGGGCAG